CAGCUGAGGAGGGGAGGGAAAGACUGCUGGAAAUGUGUUGAGUUUAACGUUUUUAAAAAUCGGUGAAUAUUUAUUCGGUGAUAGAUUAAAUACGAGUAAAAUCGGCCAUUUUAGCAUCCACUGGCAACGAGUUAAUCGAGGUUGUAGACGCAUUCGAGAGGGGAUAGUGCAUAUAAAUGACGCGGGGAGAGGAGAUACCGACUGUUUAAGGAGGGGUAUUAGGAGGGAAACACGAGAGAGACUGCAAUACGCGGGCUAUUAUUAGUGCAUCGAGGAUGUGUCUCGUUCUCUUUUUACCGAGCCCUGGGCGCAACCGAGUCGCGGUCAACGAUUAUUGGGUGGGAAUAGACGGUAUUUUAUUUAGUACAGUCCGAUCGUCCAGGGGAUUUUAAUCCACCCGAGGGCUCAACAAUAACUCGCGAAAUCGUUGAAAUGUUGGCGAUUUUCAUUCGCGUUUUUUAAUGUAGCGAUAUGUCGAGCUGUUGCGAUAUUGUUUUUGAGAAAUCGCGGGUAAUUAUUCCAACGAAAACAAUAAAUACAAGCGCUGUUGUCAGUACGCGGCGAUCAGCUGACUCCGCGGUUGGUCGUCUCAAUGGAACAGCUGAUCGCGUUUCUUUGACAUUGCACAGGGCCAGUGAAAAAUUGAGUGAUCACGACGGUUUUAACGGUAGAUAGCGCAUUGUGAAGUUGAAAUAAUAUUUGAACAUUUUAGUUUGAUUCAGGAUGAAUUGAGGACGAGGUUAUACCGUGGGAGUGUACUGCCGGAAGCUAAAUUACACUGUCAUUUGAGAGUGAGAGGGAUUGAAUGGAGAGAAAUAAUGUUAUAGGAAAUGUUGGGGCAGUUGGGGCUCGUGCCAGAUGCGCGUUUACACGGGCCCUGAAUACUGUAAAUGCACUAUCUGGUUUAAGGAUGUAUCUGUAAGGCGUUAAAUAGGUUGACAUUGUUCCCCUCGCACAUGGAGGAAGAUUCUAGUCUUCGGCUUGAUGAUCAGUCGACAGGAUGAACAGCUGGGAAUGCAGUCGCUGUUGGCAAUGGAACGUUCUACUGUGAUUAUGUAAUAAUAAUAAAGCUCAUGUGAUCAA